rnacentral:rRNA from 1 species
GACGGAGGGUGCUAGCGUUUUUCGGAAUCACUGGGCGUAAAGGGCGCGUAGGCGGUCAUUCAAGUCGAGUGUGAAAGCCCGGGGCUCAACCUCGGAACUGCAUUCGAUACUGGAUGGCUUGAGGCCGGAAGAGGAGAGUGGAAUACCCAGUGUAGAGGUGAAAUUCGUAGAUAUUGGGUGGAACACCAGUGGCGAAAGCGGCUCUCUGGUCCGGUCCUGACGCUGAGGCGCGAAAGCGUGGGUAGCAAACAGG